CAUCUAGAUUAGAGUUUGAUCCUGGCUCAAUUGAACGCUGGCGGCAGGCCUAACACAUGCAAGUCGAGCGGUAACACAGAGAGCUUGCUCUCGGGUGACGAGCGGCGGACGGGUGAGUAAUGUCUGGGAAACUGCCUGAUGGAGGGGGAUAACUACUGGAAACGGUAGCUAAUACCGCAUAACGUCGCAAGACCAAAGUGGGGGACCUUCGGGCCUCAUGCCAUCAGAUGUGCCCAGAUGGGAUUAGCUAGUAGGUGGGGUAAUGGCUCACCUAGGCGACGAUCCCUAGCUGGUCUGAGAGGAUGACCAGCCACACUGGAACUGAGACACGGUCCAGACUCCUACGGGAGGCAGCAGUGGGGAAUAUUGCACAAUGGGCGCAAGCCUGAUGCAGCCAUGCCGCGUGUAUGAAGAAGGCCUUCGGGUUGUAAAGUACUUUCAGCGAGGAGGAAGGCGUUAAGGUUAAUAACCUUGGCGAUUGACGUUACUCGCAGAAGAAGCACCGGCUAACUCCGUGCCAGCAGCCGCGGUAAUACGGAGGGUGCAAGCGUUAAUCGGAAUUACUGGGCGUAAAGCGCACGCAGGCGGUCUGUCAAGUCGGAUG
rnacentral:rRNA from 1 species